rnacentral:sRNA from 1 species
ACCUAAACCCGAUCGAAGCGGGAUGCCGAUUCUUCAUCGGCAGAAGCGGGAGCGGGACCAAAG